rnacentral:rRNA from 1 species
GACGAACGCUGGCGGCGUGCCUAAUACAUGCAAGUCGAACGAGUGGCGGACGGGUGAGUAAAACGUGGGUAACCGCCCAGCAGAGGGGGAUAACACUUGGAAACAGGUGCUAAAACCGCAUACGGAUGGAGGGACCAGCGGGGCAUUAGCUAGUUGGUGAGGUAACGGCGCACCAAGGCCACGAUGCAUAGCCGACCUGAGAGGGUGAUCUGCCCCACUGGAACUGAGACACGGUCCAGACUCCUACGGGAGGCAGCAGUGGGGAAUAUUGCACAAUGGGCGCAAGCCUGAUGCAGCCAUGCCGCGUGUGUGAAGAAGGCCUUCGGGUUGUAAAGCACUUUCAGCGAGGAGGCGUUACUCGCAGAAGAAGCACCGGCUAACUCCGUGCCAGCAGCCGCGGUAAUUC